CAACAUCCGGUGGGUGACGCUUGUUUGCUCUCAUUGGCUAUCACGGGUAUUACGUCAGAGGCAGCCUGAUCAAGAACAAACAUCUUUGAUA